CCUACGGGUGGCAGCAGUGAGGAAUAUUGGUCAAUGGACGAGAGUCUGAACCAGCCAAGUAGCGUGAAGGAUGACUGUCCUAUGGGUUGUAAACUUCUUUUAUAAAGGAAUAAAACGAGGCACGUGUGCCUUUUUGCAUGUACUUUAUGAAUAAGGAUCGGCUAACUCCGUGCCAGCAGCCGCGGUAAUACGGAGGAUCCGAGCGUUAUCCGGAUUUAUUGGGUUUAAAGGGUGCGUAGGUGGGUUGUUAAGUCAGUUGUGAAAGCUUGCGGCUCAACCGUAAAAUUGCAAUUGAUACUGGCAGUCUUGAGUGCAGGUGAGGUAGGCGGAAUUCGUGGUGUAGCGGUGAAAUGCUUAGAUAUCACGAAGAACCCCGAUUGCGAAGGCAGCUUACUAGA
rnacentral:rRNA from 1 species